UACAGAGGGUGCAAGCGUUAAUCGGAAUUACUGGGCGUAAAGGGCAAGUAGGUGGUUGUUUAAGUUGGAGGUGAAAUCCCCGGGCUUAACCUGGGAACUGCCUCCAAGACUGAAUGACUAGAGUAUGGGAGAGGAAAGUGGAAUUUCCGGUGUAGCGGUGAAAUGCGUAGAUAUCGGAAGGAACACCAGUGGCGAAGGCGACUUUCUGGCCUAAUACUGACACUGAAUUGCGAAAGCGUGGGUAGCGAACAGG
rnacentral:rRNA from 1 species